UCACUGUGAACGCUUUUGUGAAUGCGAGGAUUGUCUGAGUGACGAAAUGCAAUCGUUCAAAACUUUCAACAAUGGAUCUCUUGGUUCCGGCAUCGAUGAAGAACGCAGCGAAAUGCGAUAAGUAAUGUGAAUUGCAGAAUUCCGUGAAUCAUCGAAUCUUUGAACGCACAUUGCGCCCUCUGGUAUUCCGGGGGGCAU
rnacentral:rRNA from 1 species